UUUUUAGUAUAAGUAUGUCUCAUGCAAUAUUUGGGGCAUAUUAUACUACAA
rnacentral:pre_miRNA from 1 species